GGGGGGCGCGCGGGGAGCGGGAGGCAGCGGGCGCCCGGGAGGGGCGGCGGCCAGGGGCCCGCCCGGCAGGGGGUGCAGCGCCCGGCGGGCUGGGGGACGCCGGGCGGGCGUCCGGGGUGGCCGGGAGCGGAGGUGGCGGGCGAGCGAAGCGGGUGGGCGACCGGCGCGGGCGGCCCCCCUCGCGCCUUCCCUGCGGCCGCCGCGGACUCCGAGCGGCUGCGGCGCGGCCUGCGGCGAACCGAGCGACACAGAUCCCUGCACGCCACGCCGCCCCUUCCCCACCUGCGCGGCCUAGGGCCUCUGCCCAGCCUCUUCCAGAAGGAUCACCGGGAUCACCCUGGGAUGGGUUAAGGCAGCCCACAAGUCCAGCUGCCAGGUGACGACAGCGAGAAGGCACCAGUGUGCAAACCAGGAAGAGAAUUCUCCCUAGGAACCUGAUCGGCUUGCACCUUGAUUUUUUGGACUUCUCAGCCUCCGAACCCGAGAAAUAAAUGUCUGGUGCUUUAGGCCACCCUGUCUAUG